GAUGAACGCUGGCGGCGUGCCUAAUACAUGCAAGUCGAGCGAACAGACGAGGAGCUUGCUCCUCUGACGUUAGCGGCGGACGGGUGAGUAACACGUGGAUAACCUACCUAUAAGACUGGGAUAACUUCGGGAAACCGGAGCUAAUACCGGAUAAUAUAUUGAACCGCAUGGUUCAAUAGUGAAAGACGGUUUUGCUGUCACUUAUAGAUGGAUCCGCGCCGCAUUAGCUAGUUGGUAAGGUAACGGCUUACCAAGGCAACGAUGCGUAGCCGACCUGAGAGGGUGAUCGGCCACACUAGAACUGAGACACGGUCCAGACUCCUACGAGAGGCAGCAGUAGGGAAUCUUCCGCAAUGGGCGAAAGCCUGACGGAGCAACGCCGCGUGAGUGAUGAAGGUCUGCGGAUCGUAAAACUCUGUUAUUAGGGAAGAACAAAUGUGUAAGUAACUAUGCACGUCUUGACGGUACCUAAUCAGAAAGCCACGGCUAACUACGUG
rnacentral:rRNA from 1 species